AGAGUUUGAUCCUGGCUCAGGAUUAACGCUGGCGGCAUGCCUAAUACAUGCAAAUCGAACGAAGCCUUUUUGGCUUAGUGGUGAACGGGUGAGUAACACGUAUCCAAUCUACCCUUAAGUUUGGGAUAACUAGUCGAAAGAUUAGCUAAUACCGGAUAAUAACAUUUACUUGCAUGAGUGAAUGUAGAAAGUUGCGUUUGCAACGCUUUUGGAUGAGGGUGCGACGUAUCAGAUAGUUGGUGAGGUAACGGCUCACCAAGUCAUUGACGCGUAGCUGUACUGAGAGGUAGAACAGCCACAAUGGGACUGAGACACGGCCCAUACUCCUACGGGAGGCAGCAGUAGGGAAUUUUUCACAAUGGGCGAAAGCCUUAUGAAGCAAUGCCGCGUGAACGAUGAAGGUCUAUAAGAUUGUAAAGUUCUUUUAUUUGGGAAGAACCACUAAAAUAGGAAAUGAUUUUAGUUUGACUGUACCAUUUGAAUAAGUAUCGGCUAACUAUGUGCCAGCAGCCGCGGUAAUACAUAGGAUGCAAGCGUUAUCCGGAUUUACUGGGCGUAAAACGAGCGCAGGCGGAUUUGUAAGUUUGGUAUGAAAUCUAGAUGCUUAACGUCUAGCUGUAUCAAAAACUACGAAUCUAGAGUGUAGCAGAGAGUUGGGGAACUCCAUGUGGAGCGGUAAAAUGCGUAGAUAUAUGGAAGAACACCGGUGGCGAAGGCGCCAACUUGGACUAUUACUGACGCUUAGGCUCGAAAGUGUGGGGAGCAAAUAGGAUUAGAUACCCUAGUAGUCCACACCGUAAACGAUCAUCAUUAAAUGUCGGCUCGCUUAUGAGUCGGUGUUGUAGCUAACGCAUUAAAUGAUGUGCCUGGGUAGUACAUUCGCAAGAAUGAAACUCAAACGGAAUUGACGGGGACCCGCACAAGUGGUGGAGCAUGUUGCUUAAUUUGACAAUACACGUAGAACCUUACCUAGGUUUGACAUCUAUUGCAAUGCUAUAGAAAUAUAGCGGAGGUUAACAAUAUGACAGGUGGUGCAUGGUUGUCGUCAGCUCGUGUCGUGAGAUGUUGGGUUAAGUCCCGCAACGAGCGCAACCCCUUUCGCUAGUUAAUUUAUCUAUCGAUACUGCUACCGCAAGGUAGAGGAAGGUGGGGAUGACGUCAAAUCAUCAUGCCCCUUAUAUCUAGGGCUGCAAACGUGCUACAAUGGCUAAUACAAACAGCUGCAAUACCGUAAGGUGGAGCGAAUCUGAUAAAGUUAGUCUCAGUUCGGAUAGAGGGCUGCAAUUCGCCCUCUUGAAGUUGGAAUCACUAGUAAUCGCGAAUCAGACAUGUCGCGGUGAAUACGUUCUCGGGUCUUGUACACACCGCCCGUCAAACUAUGGGAGCCGGUAAUAUCUGAAACCGUACUGUUAACCUUUUUGGAGGCAUACGUCUAGGGUAGGAUUGGUGACUGGAGUUAAGUCGUAACAAGGUAUCCCUACGAGAACGUGGGGAUGGAUCACCU
rnacentral:rRNA from 1 species